GAUGAAGAACGCAGCGAAAUGCGAUACGUAGUGUGAAUUGCAGAAUUCAGUGAAUCAUCGAAUCUUUGAACGCACAUUGCACCUCUCGGUAUUCCGGGAGGUAUGCCUGUUCGAGCGUCAUUUGUACCCUCAAGCUCUGCUUGGUGUUGGGUGUUUGUUCCGCCUCUGUGUGUGAACUCGCCUCAAAACAAUUGGCAGCCGGCGUACUUGUUUCGGAGCGCAGCACAUUUUGCGAUCCAGAUCAACGUACAGCGGCAUCCAAGAAGCCUUUUUUAACGCUCUUGACCUCGGAUCAGGUAGGGAUACCCGCUGAACUUAAGCAUAUCAAUAAGCGGAGGA
rnacentral:misc_RNA from 1 species